GUGGGUUUACCAGGAUGGGAGGGCAGCAGAGAAAAGCACAGUCAUGUGGGUAAAAACAGAGUAGGGGACCUGGGGCUGGCCAGCAAUGGUUGAGAUGGCUAGCUGGGUUGUCAGCUGCUGAAGCCUGCUGAGAGUCUCAUAGGGAGGUGGAGGCUGCAGCAAGGCUGACCUGGAUGUGGUAGACAGAACCCUGACCUGUCACUCAGCCCAGUUCCUACCCUGGCCUUGGAUGAGUGUCCACUGCACUGAGUUGUAUGGAAGGUUCGUGUUGCUUUCAGUUUCUGCCUCAGGACACCGCCACCACCCACAAUCCCAGUCUGCCACCACUGUCCUUGUUACAGUCCCAUUGACAAUGUCCAGGGGACAGUGGUCCUACCACAGAAUCUCUCCUUCUGCCCCCUUGAAUUUCUCCACUUUGAAUGCUCUAAGAUGUCUCUGACCCAGACCAAAAAACAUGUUGCUGGUUCCACUAAGCUAUCUCUGACCAGCCACACAUGCCCACACCCUGACGUUUCUUUCGUGACACACGUCCCUUCCAGAAAUGACCUGGCGCAUGCACUUGCCACUGUCUGUGCCUGACUUGCAGAAGGUGCAAACCGUUCACUGCUGGCCCCAUAACCCAGUCCAGCGCCUGACACCCCGAAGGCAAUGGAUACGGAUUUGCUGGGUGAGUCAGUGGACAAAUGGUCAUCGAAAUCCUUGGCUAAAACUGAAAAUAGAGGAACAACCCUUGGGUUAUAUGAUCCCCCAACAUCUGGUACGCGAUUCUUUUCAGUGAAUUAACCAGCUGUUUUGGAGUCAUGCAUAACCAGGCUGAUUAUUUCAUUUCUGUAGGUUGACUGGAGUCGGUGGAAGAGAGCAGAGUCUGGUACGAGACCACGCACGCCCAGAGGGUGGGAGGAGGAGUUCCCUGGUAACUAGUGCACAGAGGAUGAGCUGAAGGACUUGUAAGAUGGUUAGAUCCCUACCUCAUGCCACCCACGGAAACAGAGUCCAGGUGGAGGGAUGGCUUUACAGAGAGCAUGGGGACCUAACUGCAAAGAAAAAGAAACAUGAUAUUUUAAUAAAAAUGUGCUGGAGAAAUUUUUCUCAACAUGACGCCAAUAUCAGAAACCAUAAAGGUGUACAUAGUUCCUAAAUAGAUUAAAUUUCCCAGAGUGCUAAAGCUGCAAGAUGGCCAAGAAUGGAAAGACCAAGUCAAGAAGGACCAAGCCUUCCCUUGGUCACCUGUUGAAAAGGGACUGGUUAUCUUUUAAGGGGUACUGGGGAUGAAAUGCAGGGUCUUGCAAUGCUAGCCAAAUACUCUACCACUGAGAUAUUUACUGGUCUUUCAAAAAACAACCACCUUUUUACUUUUAGACAGUCUUAUUAGCUUGCCCAGGCUGUCUUUGAACUUUCCAUCUUCUUGCCUCAUCCACCUGUGCAGUUAGGAUGACAGGCCUGUGCCUCCAGGCCCAGAUGGGAUGUCUUAACUGUCUUUAUUUCUCAGGGGUGUGGGGAGUCCAGCACUGUGGAUCCCACACUUUGUUUGAGAUAAAUAACUGCUACUCAAGCGACGUAGAGGCUGUCACCUGCCUCGUGGCAGGGAGGGACAGGGUCUUUGAGUGUUCUCCGUGGCAGCAGCAAUCCCACAAAAUCCCAUGGACUUUGUGCUGAUAGCAGAGCACAGGUUAGUGCUGUUAGAGUCUUGGGUCUCUGGCAUCUUAAGUGCACAUUCAAUGUACAAAGACUAUGUGAGGAUAUGAAACGCCACACUGAGGCAGGGAGCUGAUUCUGCUGUGCCCAUUCAGUAAGCUCUGCCCCUUCCCAUAUCCUAGCUUCUCAAGAUCUCCACC
rnacentral:lncRNA from 1 species